rnacentral:rRNA from 1 species
GUAGGUGGCAAGUGUUGUCCGGAAUUAUUGGGCGUAAAGCGCGCGCAGGUGGUUCUUUAAGUCUGAUGUGAAAGCCCCCGGGCUCAACCGGGGAGGGUCAUUGGAAACUGGGGAACUUGAGUGCAGGAGAGGAAAGUGGAAUUCCACGUGUAGCGGUGAAAUGCGUAGAUAUGUGGAGGAACACCAGUGGCGAAGGCGACUUUCUGGCCUGUAACUGACACUGAGGCGCGAAAGCGUGGGGAGCAAACAGGAUUAGAUACCCUGGUAGUCCACGCCGUAAACGAUGAGUGCUAAGUGUUGGGGGGUUUCCGCCCCUCAGUGCUGCAGCUAACGCAUUAAGCACUCCGCCUGGGGAGUACGGUCGCAAAGACUG